CGGCGCACGGGUGGCGUACGCGUAUGCAACCUACCUUAUACUGGGGUAUAGCCCGGAGAAAUUCGGAUUAAUCCCCCAUAGUACUGUUUUACCGCAUGGUAAGGCAGUUAAAGCAUUGCGGUAUAAGAUGGGCAUGCGUCCUAUUAGCUAGAUGGUGAGGUAACGGCUCACCAUGGCUACGAUAGGUAGGGGGCCUGAGAGGGUGGUCCCCCACACUGGUACUGAGACACGGACCAGACUCCUACGGGAGGCAGCAGUGAGGAAUAUUGGUCAAUGGGCGCAAGCCUGAACCAGCCAUGCCGCGUGCAGGAAGAAUGCCCUAUGGGUUGUAAACUGCUUUUAUUUGGGAAUAAACCUCUUUACGUGUAGAGAGCUGAAGGUACCAAAUGAAUAAGCACCGGCUAACUCCGUGCCAGCAGCCGCGGUAAUACGGAGGGUGCAAGCGUUAUCCGGAAUCAUUGGGUUUAAAGGGUCCGCAGGCGGAUUUAUAAGUCAGUGGUGAAAUCCUAUCGCUUAACGAUAGAACUGCCAUUGAUACUGUAAGUCUUGAAUUCGGUCGGAGUGGGCGGAAUGUGUAGUGUAGCGGUGAAAUGCAUAGAUAUUACACAGAACACCGAUAGCGAAGGCAGCUCACUAGGCCUGAAUUGACGCU
rnacentral:rRNA from 1 species